GGUUUGAAUAAGGAGGGAGGGGGAGAAUCCAAUCCGGUUUGAGCUAGUUCUUCUGCCAAUGGAACAUUACCGUCGCGCUACGCUGUAUUAGACUGUACUGGUACAGCUUUAUCCAGAAUAUACCACUGUAUCUUUCUCCUGUAUUGAGCAACAUUUAGCUCUUUUUUCUUAAAAAAAAAAAAAACUCACCCCACACAAACCAGCCAUGCCUAAAAGGAGCAAAGCAGGGGGAGAAACAGUGGCCAAGAGGAGAUCUCUCAGGUUGAGUGAAAAACCUGCACCUUCAAAGGCAGAGGCCAAACCUAAGCCCAAGAAGGCACCUGCUAAGCCUAAAAAAGCCAAGGAGGUGGAGAAGGCAAAGCCCGAGGAGAAAGCACCAGAGGCCCCCGCUGAGAAUGGUGAAGCCAAAGCCGAGGAAGAGGUAAUGCAUGUGGCAUCCUAUGUAAACAUGCAAAAUCCAACUAAUCUAUGCGGUUAUUAAACUCAAUAAAACAUUUAUUCUCCAGGCACCGGCCACAGAAGAAGCGGACGAAAAAGAUGAUGCGGCAGAAUAACAUCUCUCAAACCACGUCUUUGCCAGUGCUCCCUGUACCUCUUUUCUUGUACAAUUCAGGGGAAUAUUUUUAUCAACUAUUUUCUAAAUACAGGUUUUUUAGUAGUUUGAUUGUAGAGAACACUUUUUUUUAAUGAAAGAAAAAAAAGUCAAUUUGGAGACGGGAAUUUCGUCACAUCCCACAAUUUUGCAUCGCCACAAAAAAUCGCGGUUGUUGUUUCUGUCAGUGGAUUUCGUUUCAUUUUUAAAUGUGAAGAGGGCGGGGAGGGGUUGCAGGACAGGUUACUGUGUCGGCGCUUAAGCACAGCGUUCACAGCAGCUGGGGCAACAACCAGAGGAGCUUGUCCACGUGGAUUACAUUCCAUAUGCUUUAUAAGGGACAAUGUGUGUAAUCUGUGCGGGGUGGGAAUAGACAAAGUCACAGGGCAACUCAUUGUUUUAUUGUUCAUAAUGAAGAACUGUGUUUUAGAAUGUUUGUAAGCUUUGUUCCUAUAUGUUAUCUCUUGUACUCAUGCAGAUUUUCAAUGAAUCUGAUCAAUAAAGCUAAAAAUCCCUAGUACUCGAGCUCUCCUUAUCAAAACUGCAUCGCGUGUGUUGGUUGUGUCUCUGUUUCUGUGAUAGCAUCGCAAUAAAUUUGUAUAGCUGCUGUGAAAAAAAAGGUUUUCAAUCUUUCUAUAUGCAUUGUGUAAUGGUACAUAGUAAGGAUGGUAAAAAUGGAAUUUGUUUUCUUAGCCAGGAUAAUGAGGUGUGUAACCAUCAAAAACAAACUUGAGAUUGGCGUCUUUAAGGCCAACCGACAAACUGUACAUUUAUUUGAGAUGUCAAAUGCAUACCAGCAGUAGCAAUAUUAAUGUGGGUUUUAGAUAUCUGUAUCAAGUACACGUGUGCCGUUCAUUUUUAUUUGUUUAUAGAUGUACCUGUGUAAUGAUUGUUAUCAACAAACCAAUAAAACUCUGUUGGUAGUUGUUUCAUUCUGAGGCGUCGGUUUAUGAGCGAGGUUGCUGAAAGAUUGCUGUAACUGUUUCUAAAAGUUAAUGAAAGGGAGAAUACAAUAAAUAUUGAUAUUUAUAACAUAGAAA
ensembl:lncRNA